AGUAUAAAUAAUUCUACUUUGAAACUGCGAAUGGCUCAUUAUAUCAGUUAUAGUUUAUUAGAAAAAAUGUACUACUUGGAUAACCGUAGUAAUUCUAGGGCUAAUACAUGAGUAAAUCCUCGACUUUGAAGAGGUGUGUUUAUUAGUAUGAAAACCAUAUGCUUCGGCAUGAUAGUGAGUAAUAAUAACCUUUCAUAUCGUAUGUUGAAAUAACGAUAGUUCUUUCAAGUUUCUGCCCUAUCAGCUUUCGAUGGUAGUGUAUUGGACUACCAUGGCAGUAACGGGUAACGAAGAA
rnacentral:rRNA from 2 species